rnacentral:rRNA from 1 species
UACGUAGGGGGCAAGCGUUGUCCGGAAUCAUUGGGCGUAAAGCGCGUGUAGGCGGCCCAGUAAGUCCGCUCUGAAAGCCCGGGGCUCAACCCCGGGAGGCGGGUGGAUACUGCUGGGCUCGAGUCCGGAAGAGGCGAGUGGAAUUCCUGGUGUAGCGGUGAAAUGCGCAGAUAUCAGGAGGAACACCAAUGGCGAAGGCAGCUCGCUGGGACGGUACUGACGCUGGAGACGCGAAAGCGUGGGGAGCAAACAGG